rnacentral:rRNA from 1 species
GGUCAAGUGAAGAAGCGCAUACGGUGGAUGCCUUGGCAGUCAGAGGCGAUGAAAGACGUGGUAGCCUGCGAAAAGCUUCGGGGAGUCGGCAAACAGACUUUGAUCCGGAGAUCUCUGAAUGGGGGAACCCACCUAGGAUAACCUAGGUAUCUUGUACUGAAUCCAUAGGUGCAAGAGGCGAACCAGGGGAACUGAAACAUCUAAGUACCCUGAGGAAAAGAAAUCAACCGAGAUUCCCUUAGUAGUGGCGAGCGAACGGGGAUUAGCCCUUAAGCUUCAUUGAUUUUAGCGGAACGCUCUGGAAAGUGCGGCCAUAGUGGGUGAUAGCCCCGUACGCGAAAGGAUCUUUGAAGUGAAAUCGAGUAGGACGGAGCACGAGAAACUUUGUCUGAACAUGGGGGGACCAUCCUCCAAGGCUAAAUACUACUGACUGACCGAUAGUGAACCAGUACCGUGAGGGAAAGGCGAAAAGAACCCCGGAGAGGGGAGUGAAAUAGAACCUGAAACCGUAUGCGUACAAGCAGUGGGAGCCUACUUGUUAGGUGACUGCGUACCUUUUGUAUAAUGGGUCAGCGACUUAUAUUCAGUGGCAAGCUUAACCGUAUAGGGUAGGCGUAGCGAAAGCGAGUCUUAAUAGGGCGUUUAGUCGCUGGGUAUAGACCCGAAACCGGGCGAUCUAUCCAUGAGCAGGUUGAAGGUUAGGUAACACUGACUGGAGGACCGAACCCACUCCCGUUGAAAAGGUAGGGGAUGACUUGUGGAUCGGAGUGAAAGGCUAAUCAAGCUCGGAGAUAGCUGGUUCUCCUCGAAAGCUAUUUAGGUAGCGCCUCAUGUAUCACUCUGGGGGGUAGAGCACUGUUUCGGCUAGGGGGUCAUCCCGACUUACCAAACCGAUGCAAACUCCGAAUACCCAGAAGUGCCGAGCAUGGGAGACACACGGCGGGUGCUAACGUCCGUCGUGAAAAGGGAAACAACCCAGACCGCCAGCUAAGGUCCCAAAGUUGUGGUUAAGUGGUAAACGAUGUGGGAAGGCUUAGACAGCUAGGAGGUUGGCUUAGAAGCAGCCAUCCUUUAAAGAAAGCGUAAUAGCUCACUAGUCGAGUCGGCCUGCGCGGAAGAUGUAACGGGGCUCAAACCACACACCGAAGCUGCGGGUGUCACGUAAGUGACGCGGUAGAGGAGCGUUCUGUAAGCCUGUGAAGGUGAGUUGAGAAGCUUGCUGGAGGUAUCAGAAGUGCGAAUGCUGACAUGAGUAACGACAAUGGGUGUGAAAAACACCCACGCCGAAAGACUCAAGGGUUCCUGCGCAACGUUAAUCGACGCAGGGUUAGUCGGUUCCUAAGGCGAGGCUGAAAAGCGUAGUCGAUGGGAAACAGGUUAAUAUUCCUGUACUUCUGGUUACUGCGAUGGAGGGACGGAGAAGGCUAGGCCAGCUUGGCGUUGGUUGUCCAAGUUUAAGGUGGUAGGCUGAAAUCUUAGGUAAAUCCGGGGUUUCAAGGCCGAGAGCUGAUGACGAGUCGUCUUUUAGAUGACGAAGUGGUUGAUGCCAUGCUUCCAAGAAAAGCUUCUAAGCUUCAGGUAACCAGGAACCGUACCCCAAACCGACACAGGUGGUCGGGUAGAGAAUACCAAGGCGCUUGAGAGAACUCGGGUGAAGGAACUAGGCAAAAUGGCACCGUAACUUCGGGAGAAGGUGCGCCGGCUAGGGUGAAGGAUUUACUCCGUAAGCUCUGGCUGGUCGAAGAUACCAGGCCGCUGCGACUGUUUAUUAAAAACACAGCACUCUGCAAACACGAAAGUGGACGUAUAGGGUGUGACGCCUGCCCGGUGCCGGAAGGUUAAUUGAUGGGGUUAGCGCAAGCGAAGCUCUUGAUCGAAGCCCCGGUAAACGGCGGCCGUAACUAUAACGGUCCUAAGGUAGCGAAAUUCCUUGUCGGGUAAGUUCCGACCUGCACGAAUGGCGUAACGAUGGCGGCGCUGUCUCCACCCGAGACUCAGUGAAAUUGAAAUCGCUGUGAAGAUGCAGUGUAUCCGCGGCUAGACGGAAAGACCCCGUGAACCUUUACUGUAGCUUUGCACUGGACUUUGAGCCUGCUUGUGUAGGAUAGGUGGGAGGCUUUGAAGCGUGGACGCCAGUUCGCGUGGAGCCAUCCUUGAAAUACCACCCUGGCAUGCUUGAGGUUCUAACUCUGGUCCGUGAUCCGGAUCGAGGACAGUGUAUGGUGGGCAGUUUGACUGGGGCGGUCUCCUCCUAAAGAGUAACGGAGGAGUACGAAGGUGCGCUCAGACCGGUCGGAAAUCGGUCGUAGAGUAUAAAGGCAAAAGCGCGCUUGACUGCGAGACAGACACGUCGAGCAGGUACGAAAGUAGGUCUUAGUGAUCCGGUGGUUCUGUAUGGAAGGGCCAUCGCUCAACGGAUAAAAAGGUACUCCGGGGAUAACAGGCUGAUACCGCCCAAGAGUUCAUAUCGACGGCGGUGUUUGGCACCUCGAUGUCGGCUCAUCACAUCCUGGGGCUGAAGCCGGUCCCAAGGGUAUGGCUGUUCGCCAUUUAAAGUGGUACGCGAGCUGGGUUUAGAACGUCGUGAGACAGUUCGGUCCCUAUCUGCCGUGGACGUUUGAGAUUUGAGAGGGGCUGCUCCUAGUACGAGAGGACCGGAGUGGACGAACCUCUGGUGUUCCGGGUUGUCACGCCAGUGGCAUUGCCGGGUAGCUAUGUUCGGAAAAGAUAACCGCUGAAAGCAUCUAAGCGGGAAACUUGCCUCAAGAUGAGAUCUCACUGGGAACUUGAUUCCCCUGAAGGGCCGUCGAAGACUACGACGUUGAUAGGCUGGGUGUGUAAGCGUUGUGAGGCGUUGAGCUAACCAGUACUAAUUGCCCGUGAGGCUUGACCAU